UGUUCGAGGGGACUGUCUCUUUCUUAGCCCUGUGGGCUAGCCCUGUCCCUGUGGGCUAUUUUUUAUUUAAAAAGGGGGAGUACUUUCCUCAUCCCAGACCUAUUUUUCUCCGACCUGCAGGUUUGUUCGCACGCUGAGUCCAAAUCUGACAGUGCCAAGGUCGUCCGGGCCUCCGGGGACGGGGACGUCAUCGGGGACCUCCCGAGCACGCCGAUGACACUCCCACGACGAAUGCGAUUCGGCUCCAAACGCCGUGUACCCGGGCUGCUACAGCACUUUCCUGGCGUUGCCCCCUGCAGCCACACAACGAUGCACGGGGCGAGAGGCAUCCCCAAAGGAUCACAUCCCGGACAAGCGAGGCGGGAUUGCCUACCUCAGGCGUCCUCGGCCACAGCUCCCUGAGGUUCCCCAUAUGGAGCUGCGGCCACAUGUUGCAUGGGUCGGGAGCCCUACAGAAUCACAUCCCGCGACCACGAUAUAUCGGAACUCGGCCCAGAAAUGUUCUUGACAUGAGCAAGAGAAGUCUACGGAGUUAUUUUACCCAAAAGAAUAGGAAGAUCGACCUGGAGCCUGGAGUCGUUUCGUCCUGUACAUCAGCCGUGCAGCCCGUGGAAUCAUCAGAUAGAAUUUGAGUUGGCGUCACAGUGGUCCAGGAAGACCGUCCCUGUGUUGCAUUUGCGCUUGACAUAUCAGCUACGCAGCCGUCAGCUGUCACCCAAUGUAUGCCGAGUUGGCGUCACAGCACACAUCAUGAGAAAUGGCCCCUUUUUCUCAUGAUCACGGGAAUGAAUCUGGUAUUCAGAUUUGCCCCAAGUCACCACCAGAAACAAGCUGGCUACUUGAGGAAGACUUACUCUAAUAAUGUAAAUGAUUUGAAACAAUAAAGAAUAAAAAAUGACUACA